CUUAUACUCCCUCCGUCCGAAAAUACUUGUCAUCAAAAUGAAUAAAAGGGGAUGUAACUAGAACUAAAAUACAUCUAGAUACAUCCCUUUUUGUUCAUUUUGAUGACAAGUAUUUCCGGACGGAGGGAGUAUUUA
rnacentral:pre_miRNA from 1 species